AACGAACGCUGGCGGCGCGUUUUAAGCAUGCGAGUCGAACGGUAGAGUUACUUCGGUAGCUUGAGAGUGGCGAACGGGUGAGUAACACGUAGAUGAGUCUGCCUUGAGGUUUGGGAUAGCCUAUAGAAAUAUGGGGUAAUACCGGAGUAAUUUCUUACUACUUUGGUAGUUUGAGGAAAGGGGCUUCGGCCUCGCUUUAAGAUGAGUCUGCGGCUUAUUAGCUAGUUGGUAGGGUAAUGGCUUACCAAGGCGACGAUAAGUAGCCGGCCUGAGAGGGUGACCGGCCACAUUGGGACUGAGACACGGCCCAA
rnacentral:rRNA from 1 species